UAACACGUGGAUAACCUACCUAUAAGACUGGGAUAACUUCGGGAAACCGGAGCUAAUACCGGAUAAUAUUUUGAACCGCAUGGUUCAAAAGUGAAAGACGGUCUUGCUGUCACUUAUAGAUGGAUCUGCGCUGCAUUAGCUAGUUGGUAAGGUAACGGCUUACCAAGGCAACGAUGCAUAGCCGACCUGAGAGGGUGAUCGGCCACACUGGGACUGAGACACGGCCCAG
rnacentral:rRNA from 1 species